AGUUGGUCCGAGCUGAGCAACAGAGCAGCACUUCUCAAAAGGGGCCAGCAGAUCCAAGGCUGAGAGGCAUGGAGUUUUAUGUCUGAGGCAAACACAGUGGAAGGAAAAGGAGAAGUGUUGCCAAUGUUUGUGUAGCCUUGCUGCCUGAUGUCCUGCAACUCUUGUACUGGGAUUUGCAUCAUGUGCCAGAACUUGAUGAGAAUGAUAUUUCAAGAUCAACUCAGAGCGUGGGUGGAUCCUGCUCCAAGACAUCAUUUUUUCUGACUUGAACUAGAAUUUACUUACUGGAGAGUCUAUUUACAUUGCUGACAGUGCUGUUUCCCUGAAUUGGAAAGUGACAUUUGAAAACUGCUGAUGGAGAUGAGAAAUCUUGGAAAGAGUUUGUCAUAGAUAUCACAUGGAAAUGGAGAGAAACUUCAGUAUAUUUAUGCUAAAGCAUUUCCAUGGAAGCAGGACACAAACUGAAUGGAGUGGUAUUUUCUGUGUUUCCAGGCCUGAUAAAUAAGGAAAGCACAGGGAGCACAAUGCGGCAUCUCCCCACUAG